AAGACCAUAUUUAGUCAAGAAUAAACGUUUUUUUUUCUUCUAAAAGUUUAACAAUCAAAUCAUAGUGUAAAUAAAUGAUAUCCAAUAAUAAAAGAAAUUAAACUUGUCAAGAAGAAAAUAAAAUUAUUAUUUUCCCCCACAGUAUUUCACAUUCACAUUAUUUUCAUUGAUGAUUUUUGAGUUAGUUUUGGUCCUCGAUUCUGAUUGGACGAGAGGCUUUCCAAGCGUGCUAAUGACAAGGAAGUAAUGUGUGGUGUUUAUUUAUUUAUUUGACUUGGUUAUGAGGUUCGUUUAAUUAUGUUCAGCUUCUCCAAAUCGUCGAAAUCAGCCAGCUACUUCAGAGAAUCACAGUCCCUGCAGACAUCACAUGCUGUCCCAUCAGAGGUACAUUCUGUCCCUCUCGGCUGCUUUGAAUAUCGCUAAUUAAAAGACGGCUGUGAUAGACUAGAUAAGGGCUCAUUUCAGGGUGUUUUAAUGAAGGGAGUGAGUACUCUGAUGGCUAUCUGUCCGUCUAAAUGGAGGAGUUCAGCUGACGGGGGACAGACAGCGCACAAAUGAGGGGACGGCUGCGCGCACGAGAUAAGAACACGCUCCAGCACAAAUCCAUCUCAUUCAGAGAAAGGAUGGACGAAAGUGUGAUGGAACACAACUAGGACAGGGAACAGCCCCGGGCAGACUCAUUGUUCAGCUCCGUCACAAAAGGAACAAAGAUUUAAGACAACCUUACACGUGUUGGAUUUGACAAAUUGCAUUUUCAUGUACAAAGGAGAAGAAACCAACAGGAAAUUUAAUACCUGCCUGAAUAUUGUGGCAGCACAAUGUAUAUUGGGACCUUUUAUAUAGGCUUAUUCAUUGCACUAUAUUAUGAAAUUGUGUGAUAUGCAUUUGCAUAACUUAAAAUAAUAAUCAAAUACUCAGUAUAAGCACAAUAUGUUGAUCAAAUAAACAAGAGACGGUACA